UCGAGAAUCUUCCGCAAUGGGCGCAAGCCUGACGGAGCGACGCCGCGUGCGGGAUGAAGGCCUUCGGGUUGUAAACCGCUGUCAGUGGGGAGCAAAUCUUUUGGAGUUAUCUCCAGGAGUUGAGCGAUCCGCAGAGGAAGCGCAGGCUAAGUUCGUGCCAGCAGCCGCGGUAAGACGAACUGCGCAAACGUUAUUCGGAAUCACUGGGCUUAAAGAGUCCGUAGGCGGCUCGGCAGGUGAGGUGUGAAAUCCCACGGCUCAACCGUGGAAUUGCGCUUCAAACCGCCGGGCUCGAGGGAGAUAGAGGAGAGCGGAACUGAUGGUGGAGCGGUGAAAUGCGUUGAUAUCAUCAGGAACACCGGUGGCGAAAGCGGCUCUCUGGGUCUCUUCUGACGCUGAGGGACGAAAGCUAGGGGAGCGAACGGGAUUAGAUACCCCCGUAGUCC
rnacentral:rRNA from 1 species